AUUGAACGCUGGCGGCAUGCCUUACACAUGCAAGUCGAACGGUAACGGGCCUUCGGGUGCCGACGAGUGGCGAACGGGUGAGUAAUACAUCGGAACGUGCCCGAUCGUGGGGGAUAACGAGGCGAAAGCUUUGCUAAUACCGCAUACGAUCUACGGAUGAAAGCAGGGGACCGCAAGGCCUUGCGCGGACGGAACGGCCGAUGGCAGAUUAGGUAGGUGGUGGGAUAAAAGCUUACCAAGCCGACGAUCUGUAGCUGGUCUGAGAGGAUGAUCAGCCACACUGGGACUGAGACACGGCCCAGACUCCUACGGGAGGCAGCAGUGGGGAAUUUUGGACAAUGGGCGCAAGCCUGAUCCAGCCAUGCCGCGUGCAGGGUGAAGGCCUUCGGGUUGUAAACUGCUUUUGUACGGAACGAAAAGCCUUCUUCUAAUACAGGAGGGUCAUGACGGUACCGUAAGAAUAAGCACCGGCUAACUACGUGCCAGCCGCCGCAGUAA
rnacentral:rRNA from 1 species